UACAGAGGGUGCAAGCGUUAAUCGGAGUUACUGGGCGUAAAGGGCGCGUAGGCGGUAAGACAAGUGAGGUGUGAAAUCCCUGGGCUUAACCUAGGAAUUGCACUUUAAACUGUUUUGCUAGAGUACAGUAGAGGAUAGUGGAAUUUCCGGUGUAGCGGUGAAAUGCGUAGAGAUCGGAAGGAACACCAGUGGCGAAGGCGACUAUCUGGACUGACACUGACGCUGAGGCGCGAGAGCGUGGGGAGCAAACAGG
rnacentral:rRNA from 1 species